rnacentral:tRNA from 1 species
UUUAAAGUAGUUUAUCCUAGUAAAAUAUAGAAUUGUGGCGUCUAAGAAACCUUUUAUGUCUUUGAAU